AGAGUUUGAUCAUGGCUCAGGAUGAACGCUGGCGGCGUGCUUAGGCAUGCAAGUCGAACGGUAGCUCUUCGGAGCGAGAGUGGCAGACGGGUGAGUAACGCGUAGGAACCUACCCUUUGGAGGGGAAUAGCCCAGCGAAAGUUGGGAUAAUACCGCAUAAUCCCUACGGGGAAAAGGAUGUAACUAUCCGCCGAAGGAAGGGCCUGCGUCCUAUCAGCUUGUUGGUAAGGUAAUGGCUUACCAAGGCUUCAACGGGUAGCCGGUGUGAGAGCACGACCGGCCACAGGGUUACUGGGACACGGAACCCACGUCUACGGACGGCAGCAACCGGGAAUAUUGCGCAAUGGACGAAAGUCUGACGCAGCGACGCCGCGUGGAGGAUGACGGCCUUCGGGUUGUAAACUCCUUUUAUUUAGGAACAUAAUGAGGGUACUAGAUGAAUAAGCACCGGCAAACUACGUGCCAGCAGCAGCGGUAAAACGUAGGGUGCAAGCGUUAUCCGGAUUUAUUGGGCGUAAAGAGUAUCGUAGGCGGUUAGAUAAGUCAUUCGUUAAAGCCCGAGGCUUAACUUCGGAAAGGCGAGUGAUACUGUUUAACUAGUGCAUAGUCGGGGAUAUUGGAAUGUCUGGUGGAGGGGUGAAAUCCGUUGAGAUCAGACAGAACACCGAGGGCGAAGGCAGAUAUCUAGGCUACUGCAGACGCUGAUGAACGAAAGCUGGGGUAGCAAAAGGGAUUAGAGACCCCUGUAGUCCCAUGCCGUAAACGAUCUCUACUAGCUGGUUGAGUCUAACUCAACUGGCGUAAGCUAACGCGUUAAGUAGAGCGCCUGGGGAGUACGGCCGCAAGGCUAAAACUCAAAUGAAUUGACGG
rnacentral:rRNA from 1 species